rnacentral:lncRNA from 1 species
CAGGGAGAUAGUCACACAGAGAGAGGGCGUGUAAAUAAGGCACCAUUCUAUUGGAGGAGCAACUCAGAAAGCUGCAUGAUAACUCAGACCUAGGUGCAACCCUCAUCUGGCAGUGCCCCUGUCCCUGCCUGGGCGAUACAUCACAGAGACCACCUCUGACAGCGGAGCUCAGUCAGAAGCAAUGCUCACUCAUCUCAGGCCUUCACAUGCUCAGAAGCCAUCGAGGGACAGGUAAAGAGAGUGAGAGGUGGCCUUUGAAUUUGUGGCCCAAAAAUCCAUGGAAAGAAAAUGUAGCCUUUGAGAUGGAAGCCCUUCAAAGAGAGGUGGUGUCCUUGAGAGGCUGGGUCUGCUCUCGCUGGGGAGAAAGCGUGCGAAAAGGAACUCAACUCCAGGCCAGGAAGUGCUCGGAUUUAAUCAAAGUGCCAAUGACUGCUUCAUCACUGUCGGGGUGAUACUGAUUGAAAGGACACAUUUUUCCUCUUACUAAUAUUCUUGAUCAAAGCAUAAAAGGAAGCAUAUGUUUUAGUUGAAUGAGGGCCCAUUUUCUGUUUUCUCAAUUACUAAUUUUUCAGGAAAGUAGAAUAUUGGAGGCACAAAAUGCAAUCUCAAAGCCAUGAAUUCUACCCUUCUGCUCUUAGCUUUGCCCAAGAUUGUCUGAAUGAUCUUGGGCAAAUCACUGAGGGCAGAUACUUGCUUUAGUGCCUGCAACUAUGAGAUGGUCAACAACUCUCAUGCUCUCUCCCCACCCUGGGCCUGAUGAAUACUCAGCAAAUAUUACAUGAGCCAUCAAAUGAUUAAAUUGACUUUGGUGCUUCUAUUGGUCUGACUAGCAUGUAUAGCCUUUUUUCCCCACAAAUGACAGUUACUUCCUGGCUUUGAUCUGAAAUUGCAUUAAUCUACCCCAAAAAGUGAGUUAAGAGUAUUUUAUUAUUUUUUCUAACCUUAAGGGAAAUGGCUUCAUGAACACCUUUAAUUAAAAAGAAAAAUAAGUGAAAAGAUUAUGUUUUAAAAUCACACAAGUGCCCUCUCCCUCUCCCUCUCCCCAUGGUCUCCCUCUCCCCAUGGUCUCCCUCUCCCUCUCUUUCCACGGUCUCCCUCUCAUGCCGAGCCAAAGCUGGACUAUACUGCUGCCAUCUCGGCUCACUGCAACCUCCCUGCCUGAUUCUCCUGCCUCAGCCUGCCGAGUGCCUGCAAUUGCAGGCGCGCGCCACCACGCCUGACGGGUUU